rnacentral:rRNA from 1 species
UAUUCAUUGAUGACAUCUGAUUUGAUUAAAGAUUAUCGGUAUAGGAUGGGGGAUGCGUCUGAUUAGCUUGUUGGUGAGGUAACGGCCCACCCAAGGCCCACGAUCAGUAGGGGUUCUGAGAGGAAGGUCCCCCACAUUGGAACUGAGACACGGUCCAAACUCCUACGGGAGGCAGCAGUGAGGAAUAUUGGUCAAUGGACGAGAGUCUGAACCAGCCAAGUAGCGUGCAGGAUGACGGCCCUAUGGGUUGUAAACUGCUUUUGUUUGGGAAUAAUCGACAUUACGUGUAAUGUUUUGCAUGUACCAUUCGAAUAAGGACCGGCUAAUUCCGUGCCAGCAGCCGCGGUAAU